CUCAGCUGCUUUUCCUUCAGCCUGAGGGCUGGCUCUGGAAGGCAUCAUGAGCCCGAACCCCAUUCAAAAGAGGGGAGUAUUUACAGCAAAUUUUUCCCUGUCCUGUGGCCUAGCCUCUAGGCAGUAGGACUCUGGAGAAGAAAUUUGUUAGGCUCCUUGCUCCUCUUGCCACACUCAGAGUGGCCAGAUUCCAUUAUUUCGCAGCACAGGGAGCUGAAAUUGAGUCAUAGUUCAGUGAUCUGCAGCUCAGCCAACAUAUUUCCCCAAAAGUGAGUUUUCUCUAACUAGCUUCAUUCAAAUCAUUCACCCAACAGUCACGCUUGUACUUUUCCACUUAAAUGAGACGCAAGCCCAGUUCCUCAAGGAUUCCAGGGAGCCCAGAAGAGUGAAGUCAUCUCCCGUCUUGGGAUACAGCAGGCACAUCAUAGCUCUAGUUUCAUUCCCAGGAUCUGGGAAUUCAGAAGGACCUUAACCAUCCCAUCUGACUCUCCUUGGGCAAGAGAAAAAGGUGUGCAAACAGACUAUCAACAACACUAGGGAGCCUCCGAUGGUGCUGCAGACACAAAUGUUGGAUCUGUAGGGGACCAAGACUUUAUCUGCCUUCUGUCCGAUGGCUGCCCUGAAACCACAGCUAGAACAAAGCCCACGUUCAUUAGGGUGUAUUUUGGGAGGAAAGCAAAUUGGCACUGUA
rnacentral:lncRNA from 1 species